GGCGAAAGGGUGAGUAAUAAAUGGAUAACCUACCCUCCAGAUCGGGAUAAUCCAUCGAAAGGUGGGGUAAUACCGGAUGGUCUGGCAGUCUUAUCAGUCUGUCAGUAAAGGUUGCUUCGGCAUCUGCUGGAGGAGGGGUUCAUUUCCUAUUAGCUUGUUGGUAAGGUAAUGGCUUACCAAGGCAUAGAUGGGUAGGGGGCCUUAGCGGGUGAUCCCCCACACUGGGACUGAGACACUGCCCAGGUUCCUACGGGAGGCUGCAAUCGAGAAUCCUCCGCAAUGGGCGAAAGCCUGACGGGGCGACGCCGCGUGGACGAUGAAGGCCUAUCAGGUUGUAAAGUCCUAACAGGGAGUAUGGAAAUCGGCGGGUCCAAUAGGCCCGUUGAUUGACGUCAAUCCCAGAUGAAGUCACGGCUAAAUAUGUGCCAGCAGCCGCGGUAAGACAUAUGUGGCGAGCGUUGUUCGGAAUUACUGGGCUUAAAGCGCGCGUAGGCGGUUCAGUCAGUUAAUUUGUGAAAUCCCCCGGCUUAACCGGGGAAUCGCGGUUAAUACUGCUGAACUCGAGUACAAGAAGGGAGAGUGGAAUUCUGGGUGUAGCGGUGGAAUGCGAAGAUAUCCAGGAGAAGGCCGGUGGCGAAAAGCGACUCUCUGGCUUGAUACUGACGCUGAGGUGCGAAAGCGUAGGUAGCGAACGGGAUUAGAUACCCCGGUAGUCUACGCUGUAAAUGAUGGGCACUGGAUGGUGGAGGCGCUGAUAGCUUUCUCCGUCGAAGCAAAUGCGUUAAAGUGCACCGCCUGGGGAGUACGGUCGCAAGAUUAAAACUCAAAGGAAUUGACGGGGGCCCACACAAGCGGUGGAGGAUGCGGCUUAAUUCGAGGACACGCGUAAAACCUUACCGAGGUUUGACAUGUAGGGAUUAAUCCGGUGAAAGCCGGAGGAUUGCCUUACGGUGUAACCUACACAGGUGCUGCAUGGCUGUCGACAGUUCGUGUCGUGAGAUGUUAGGUUAAGUCCUGAAACGAGCGAAACCCCUGUGCUUAAUUGCCAGCGCGUUAUGGCGGGGACAUUAGGCAGACUGCCUCGGCUAACGGGGAGGAAGGUGGGGACGACGUCAAGUCAGCAUGGCCCUUAUACCUCGGGCUGCACGCGUCCUACAAUGGGCAGUACAAACAGGACCGAUCCCGCGAGGGGGAGGAAAUCUCUAAAGCUGCUCUCAGUUCGGAUUGCAGGCUGAAACCCGCCUGCAUGAAGGUGGAAUCGCUAGUAAUCGCCGGUCAGCUAUACGGCGGUGAAUCCGUCCCUGGGCCUUGUACACACCGCCCGUCAAGCCACCCGAGUUGGGCGCACUCGAAGUCCGAGACUCAACCGUUUACGGAGAGA
rnacentral:rRNA from 1 species